rnacentral:rRNA from 1 species
AUUGAACGCUGGCGGAAUGCUUUACACAUGCAAGUCGAACGGCAGCACGGGGGCAGCCCUGGUGGCGAGUGGCGAACGGGUGAGUAAUACAUCGGAACGUGCCCGGUCGUGGGGGAUAACGUAGCGAAAGUUACGCUAAUACCGCAUACGAUCUGAGGAUGAAAGCGGGGGACCUUCGGGCCUCGCGCGAUCGGAGCGGCCGAUGUCAGAUUAGGUAGUUGGUGGGGUAAAGGCCUACCAAGCCGACGAUCUGUAGCUGGUCUGAGAGAACGACCAGCCACACUGGGACUGAGACACGGCCCAGACUCCUACGGGAGGCAGCAGUGGGGAAUUUUGGACAAUGGGCGCAGGCCUGAUCCAGCCAUUCCGCGUGCAGGACGAAGGCCUUCGGGUUGUAAACUGCUUUUGUACGGAACGAAAAGGCUCUGGCUAAUACCUGGGGCUCAUGACGGUACCGUAAGAAUAAGCACCGGCUAACUACGUG